rnacentral:rRNA from 1 species
UAACCUGCCCAAGAGAUCGGGAUAACACCUGGAAACAGAUGCUAAUACCGGAUAACAACAGAUGAUGCCUAUCAACUGUUUAAAAGAUGGUUCUGCUAUCACUCUUGGAUGGACCUGCGGUGCAUUAGCUAGUUGGUAGGGUAACGGCCUACUAAGGCGAUGAUGCAUAUCCGAGUUGAGAGACUGAUCGGCCACAUUGGGACUGAGACACGGCCCAAACUCCUACGGGAGGCAGCAGCG